rnacentral:rRNA from 1 species
GACGAACGCUGGCGGCGUGCUUAACACAUGCAAGUCGAACGGUAAGGCCCCUCGGGGUACACGAGUGGCGAACGGGUGAGUAACACGUGGGUGAUCUGCCCUGCACUUCGGGAUAAGCCUGGGAAACUGGGUCUAAUACCGGAUAGGACCACUGCCUGCAUGGGUGGUGGUGGAAAGCUUUUGCGGUGUGGGAUGGGCGCGCGGCCUAUCAGCUUGUUGGUGGGGUGAUGGCCUACCAAGGCGACGACGGGUAGCCGGCCUGAGAGGGUGACCGGCCACACUGGGACUGAGAUACGGCCCAGACUCCUACGGGAGGCAGCAGUGGGGAAUAUUGCACAAUGGGCGCAAGCCUGAUGCAGCGACGCCGCGUGAGGGAUGACGGCCUUCGGGUUGUAAACCUCUUUCAGCACCGACGAAGCGCAAGUGACGGUAGGUGCAGAAGAAGGACCGGCCAACUACGUGCCAGCAGCCGCCGUAA